UACUUCAUUAGUAAAAGUUUAUUAUGUUAUCUUGAUAAGGUAGAGUUCUUAGGGUGAAGUAA
rnacentral:tRNA from 1 species